UACGAGGGGGGCAAGCGUUGUUCGGAUUUACUGGGCGUAAAGGGCGCGUAGGCGGUCAGCACAAGUCAGUUGUGAAAUCUCCGGGCUUAACUCGGAAAGGUCAACUGAUACUGUGCGACUAGAGUGCGGAAGGGGCAACUGGAAUUCUCGGUGUAGCGGUGAAAUGCGUAGAUAUCGAGAGGAACACCUGCGGCGAAGGCGGGUUGCUGGGCAGACACUGACGCUGAUGCGCGAAAGCCAGGGGAGCGAACGGG
rnacentral:rRNA from 1 species